rnacentral:rRNA from 1 species
CAGCAGCCACGGGAACACGAAGGGGGCUAGCGUUGUUCGGAAUGACUGGGCGUAAAGGGCGCGUAGGCGGAUUGUUUAGUUAGGCGUGAAAUUCCUGGGCUUAACCUGGGGACUGCGCUUAAUACAGGCAGUCUAGAGUGAGGAAGAGGGUUGUGGAAUUCCCAGUGUAGAGGUGAAAUUCGUAGAUAUUCGGAAGAACACCAGUGGCGAAGGCGGCUCACUGGACGACUGUUGACGCUGAGGUGCGAAAGCGUGGGGAGCAAACAGGAUUAGAUACCCCGGUAGUCCCUGUCUCUUAUAC